rnacentral:rRNA from 1 species
AACGAACGCUGGCGGCAUGCCUAACACAUGCAAGUCGAACGAGAUCUUCGGGUCUAGUGGCGCACGGGUGCGUAACGCGUGGGAAUCUGCCCUUUGGUUCGGAAUAACAGUUGGAAACGACUGCUAAUACCGGAUGAUGACGAGAGUCCAAAGAUUUAUCGCCAGAGGAUGAGCCCGCGUAGGAUUAGCUAGUUGGUGUGGUAAAGGCGCACCAAGGCGACGAUCCUUAGCUGGUCUGAGAGGAUGAUCAGCCACACUGGGACUGAGACACGGCCCAGACUCCUACGGGAGGCAGCAGUGGGGAAUAUUGGACAAUGGGCGAAAGCCUGAUCCAGCAAUGCCGCGUGAGUGAUGAAGGCCUUAGGGUUGUAAAGCUCCUUUACCCGGGAUGAUAAUGACAGUACCGGGAGAAUAAGCUCCGGCUAACUACGUGCCAGCCGCCGCCGUAA